UACAGAGGUCCCAAGCGUUGUUCGGAUUCACUGGGCGUAAAGGGUGCGUAGGUGGUCAGGUAAGUCUGAUGUGAAAUCUCUGGGCUCAACCCAGAAACUGCAUUGGAUACUAUCUGGCUAGAGGAGUGGAGGGGGGACUGGAAUACUUGGUGUAGCAGUGAAAUGCGUAGAUAUCAGGAGGAACACCAAUGGCGAAGGCAGCUCGCUGGGACGUGACUGACGCUGAGACGCGAAAGCGUGGGGAGCAAACAGG
rnacentral:rRNA from 1 species